rnacentral:rRNA from 6 species
AGACCCGAAACCCGGUGAUCUAGCCAUGGGCAGGUUGAAGGUUGGGUAACACUAACUGGAGGACCGAACCGACUAAUGUUGAAAAAUUAGCGGAUGACCUGUGGCUGGGGGUGAAAGGCCAAUCAAACCGGGAGAUAGCUGGUUCUCCCCGAAAGCUAUUUAGGUAGCGCCUCGUGAAUUCAUCUCCGGGGGUAGAGCACUGUUUCGGCUAGGGGGCCAUCCCGGCUUACCAACCCGAUGCAAACUGCGAAUACCGGAGAAUGUUAUCACGGGAGACACACGGCGGGUGCUAACGUCCGUCGUGAAGAGGGAAACAACCCAGACCGCCAGCUAAGGUCCCAAAGUCAUGGUUAAGUGGGAAACGAUGUGGGAAGGCCCAGACAGCCAGGAUGUUGGCUUAGAAGCAGCCAUCAUUUAAAGAAAGCGUAAUAGCUCACUGGUCGAGUCGGCCUGCGCGGAAGAUGUAACGGGGCUAAACCAUGCACCGAAGCUGCGGCAGCGAACGUAUCACCCAAGACAACUUUACGGAGUUGACGAUUGACGGAGCGAAGCGACGUCAAAGCGUUCAUUAAAGUCGAGUUGGCUUAGGGAUACGUUCGUUGGGUAGGGGAGCGUUCUGUAAGCCUGUGAAGGUGUGUCGUGAGGCAUGCUGGAGGUAUCAGAAGUGCGAAUGCUGACAUAAGUAACGAUAAAGCGGGUGAAAAGCCCGCUCGCCGGAAGACCAAGGGUUCCUGUCCAACGUUAAUCGGGGCAGGGUGAGUCGACCCCUAAGGCGAGGCCGAAAGGCGUAGUCGAUGGGAAACGGGUUAAUAUUCCCGUACUUGGUGUUACUGCGAAGGGGGGACGGAGAAGGCUAUGUUGGCCGGGCGACGGUUGUCCCGGUUUAAGCGUGUAGGUGUGUGUUCCAGGUAAAUCCGGUUCACUUUAACACUGAGGCGUGACGACGAGGCACUACGGUGCUGAAGCAACAAAUGCCCUGCUUCCAGGAAAAGCCUCUAAGCAUCAGGUAACACGAAAUCGUACCCCAAACCGACACAGGUGGUCAGGUAGAGAAUACCAAGGCGCUUGAGAGAACUCGGGUGAAGGAACUAGGCAAAAUGGUGCCGUAACUUCGGGAGAAGGCACGCUGACACGUAGGUGAAGUGAUUUACUCAUGGAGCUGAAGUCAGUCGAAGAUACCAGCUGGCUGCAACUGUUUAUUAAAAACACAGCACUGUGCAAACACGAAAGUGGACGUAUACGGUGUGACGCCUGCCCGGUGCCGGAAGGUUAAUUGAUGGGGUCAGCG